rnacentral:rRNA from 1 species
GAUGAACGCUGGCGGCGUGCCUAAUACAUGCAAGUCGAGCGAAUGGAUCAAGAGCUUGCUCUUAUGGAGUUAGCGGCGGACGGGUGAGUAACACGUGGGUAACCUGCCCAUAAGACUGGGAUAACUCCGGGAAACCGGGGCUAAUACCGGAUAACAUUUUGAACCGCAUGGUUCGAAAUUGAAAGGCGGCUUCGGCUGUCACUUAUGGAUGGACCCGCGUCGCAUUAGCUAGUUGGUGAGGUAACGGCUCACCAAGGCAACGAUGCGUAGCCGACCUGAGAGGGUGGUCGGCCACACUGGGACUGAGACACGGCCCAGACUCCUACGGGAGGCAGCAGUAGGGAAUCUUCCGCAAUGGACGAAAGUCUGACGGAGCAACGCCGCGUGAGUGAUGAAGGCUUUCGGGUCGUAAAACUCUGUUGUUAGGGAAGAACAAGUGCUAGUUGAAUAAGCUGGCACCUUGACGGUACCUAACCAGAAAGCCACGGCUAACUACGUGCCAGCCGCCGCGGUAA